rfam:Beauveria bassiana ARSEF 2860 unplaced genomic scaffold BBA_S00023, whole genome shotgun sequence.
UCCGGUAUGGUGUAGUGGCUAACAUCGCUCGCUCUCAAUCAAUCAUUGGUCCGAGCAGCCCAGGGUUCGAUUCCCUGUACCGGAG